rnacentral:lncRNA from 1 species
GAGAAUACAAAGAUGAAAAUAAGAAACUAAGAGGAAAGAGAAGAAAAGAAAAUUAUGGAAAAAGAGGGAACAAGGAAAAGCAAAAUAAGUUUUGUUAAAAAAUGAGUGAGAGGAGAUUCAACUCUAGGUCUAAGGCCUAAGAAGAAGCACUUGGACUGUGGCACCUAUCAUAACAUUGUUCAUUAGGGUGCUACAAAAUUAUUUUGUACUUUUUUUACAUGAAAUAUCAGUGGAAUACCAGUACUAAUAUGAAAUUCUAUCGGAGCGAUCGGGUGACGUACCACAUCCUUCCCUCUACAUAGAUCCGCCCUUCCUGUAGGAGUUGGAGGCAUGAGGUUUAACAAUUACAGGGAACAGAAGCUAAAGCCACCUUCAACCCUAACUAAACAACAAAAUGGUUUAUUAAACUUGAAAACUGGAAGACACCCGGAACAAUUUCUAUGGAAUCUUGUAAAAAUAAUGCAUUUUUGGUUUCAUAAAUAAACUAUCGUGGACUUACCCUCAUAUAUUCCUCAGCAGAGACAGG